AGAUAUUUCAUGUAUACUAGUGUAGAGACCCGCGCGAUGCGGCGGGUAAGAAUAUUUUAGUAAAAAUUUACGGAUUUAAUAAACAAAUAAAAAUAUGGAAACUGUUGGGAAUCCGGUACUCGUCCCGGUACCGGAUCUUGUGAAUUCGCAACCCGCUCCGAUACCGACUGCUGUGGAUUCGGUACCGAUUGUUGGGAUUCCGCAACAGAAGCGUCAAAUCGAAUUUUUACCAUAAACCCGUCUCCUCAGCAAAAGCUGAUACAAUCAUAAAAGAGAGAAAUAUACAGGUAAAAUAAGAUUCAUUAAAUAAGAGAAUAUUACACCUGACUCCUCUUCUGCACAGAGUAGCUACAACCCGAGCCCUCUUUCUGAAUCUCUUCUACCCUUCUCUCGUCUUCUAUAACACCCAAAGAAGAUAACCUCUCCACGUGCACCCGUGCACAAGGUGCACUCAAAGAAUGGCUAUUCUCUCUCUCUCUCUUUCUCUCUGGUACGGUAGCCCAAAAGCUCCGGCCGUACUUUCCAACUCUAAAAAAAGCCUCUAAUGCAUUAUAUAAUGCUCAAACAAGAAUGUACCCAAUCCUAGUAUAUUUAGGAUUUCGACUUUAAUGAAUAUCUAAAUCUAUCUUAAUUAAUCUCUAAUAGAUUUAAAUAUUAAUCCUAAUCUACUUAGAUUUUAUCCUCUAAUUAAUAUUUAAAUCUUUGUUUAUCUCCAACAGAUUUAAAUAUUAAUCCUGAUUCAAAUAGAAUUCAACUACAAAUCUAACCAAAUCCUAACAGAAACUAAUUUAAUAAUAUAAAAAAUACAGAAAAAAUUUUAGAAUAGAAUUACAAUCUAAUAGGAAACAAUGUAAGAAACGAAAAAAGUAAGAAGUAUAGGAGUAAGAAAAAGAUUAUAUAGAUAUCCUAAAGAGAUAUUUAGAAUGUUGUGAAGAAGUAUAACAAAUAAUAAAAGAUAGACUGAAGAGGUUCAAAUUCAUAUUUAACUAAUCAUAUAAAAAGAUUUAUCUGUUCUAUUCUCUUUUCUAACCCAAAUAAGAUUUCUCUUAAACACUAACUAUUAUUGCAUUUACCUAUGGACAUAAAAAUUGCCAUGCCAUUAUAGAAUUAGUACAGAAUGUAAAGGAACUGAAGGAAAUGUAGUAAGAAAUAUAUGACAUUCAUAUAAAUAAAUUUUAAAAGUAAUAAUAGUUAGUUUUAACUACCUAAAUUGUAAAGACCCAAUUUUCAUGCAUCCAUGAGCCAAACAAUCUAUAUAUUAUAUUUAUUCUGUUGAUGCAACAGGACAAUUUAAUCAGUAUUUUUAAUAAUUUUACUUUGUCAAUUUUUAUAUAACUCAAAUAACUUAUUUAUGAACAGUAGUGUACAAUAAAGAAAAAAUUUCUUUAUCAUUUAUUAUGAAGCAACAACCCGUAAAAAGUAGAAAUUAAUAAGGCAAGAAGUCGAAGAGAUAACGAUUUUACAGAAAAAAUGAAUGUGCACAAAUGAAGAGUGAAGUGAUUGGAGAGUAGCAUUUAAUGAGGUAGAAGCUAAAAAGGCAAAGAUGUUAUGGGAAAGGCGAGUGAACACAUUUAAUGAGGGGGGAAGCCGAAGAGGCAACGAUAUUAUUGGGAAGACAAACAGACACACUAUGAAGGAACGAACGAAGCAAAGCGGUUGAAAAUUAGAAAUCGAGAAAAGGAGAUACUCUUGAGGUGGGUCCCAUGAGCAAAACUUAAGGAGAGCACGCCACGUAGGAUAAGAUUAUGAAGAUUAAUAGUAUUUUAUAGAUUUAUAGAUUAUAGAUUAUAGAUAUACUUUGUAUGCAUUUUGAAAGAGGGGUAAUUUGGUCAUCUUUUUAAAAAUUUAGACCAAAUUUGCGAAAUUCAAAAAGACGGCCUGCCUUUACAAAAUCUCAAAAUUAGUGAAUUUUUUUAUGUAAAUUG
rnacentral:lncRNA from 1 species